CUAUUAUUCUUUAUUUUAAAAAUUUUGUUACUUAAGUAGUAUAAAUGUGAACAUAUAUAUGUAGUUCUUUAGAUUGUUUGAAACUUAAAAGGCUUGGCGGUGUUAUAUAUCCUACCAGGGGAGCUUGCUUAUUAAUUUGAUAAUCCUCAAUUUAUACUUACUUUUUUUUGAAUUAUAACAGUUUGUGUAUUGCUGUCGUCAGUUUAUUUUGUAAAAAUUUUGGAAAAAACUAAAUAAUAUUAUGGUUGUGAUGUCAAGUCAAAAUGCAGUUUAUGAAAAAGGUUUUCAAGUGAGCUACAAUUUAUAUUUUUUAAUCGGAUUAAAGAAUGUAAUUUUUUUAUGAAGUUGGACUUGGUAGUAAUAAGAAUAUUAUAAAUAGUGAGUUCUUAUGAAUUGGGUUUUAUAAUGCGU
rnacentral:rRNA from 1 species